rnacentral:rRNA from 1 species
AUUGAACGCUGGCGGCAGGCCUAACACAUGCAAGUCGAGCGAGCGGCGGACGGGUGAGUAAUGUCUGGGGACUGCCCGAUAGAGGGGGCUAACUACUGGAAACGGUAGCUCAUACCGCAUACUAUCGGAUAACACAUAUGGGAUUAGCUAGUAGGUGAGGUCAUGGCUCACCUAGGCGACGAUCCCUAGCUGGUCUGAGAGGAUGAUCAGCCACACUGGGACUGAGACACGGCCCAGACUCCUACGGAGGCAGCAGUGGGGAAUAUUGCACAAGGUGCGCAAGCCUGAUGCAGCCAUGCCGCGUGUAUGAAGAAGGCCCUAGGGUUGUAAAGUACUUUCAGUCGGGAGGCGUUACCGACAGAAGAAGCACCGGCUAACUACGUGCCAGCCGCCGCGGUAAUUC